rnacentral:rRNA from 1 species
AGCGAACGCUGGCGGCAGGCCUAACACAUGCAAGUCGAACGAAGUCUUCGGACUUAGUGGCGGACGGGUGAGUAACACGUGGGAACGUGCCUUUAGGUUCGGAAUAACUCAGGGAAACUCGUGCUAAUACCGAAUGUGCCCUUCGGGGGAAAGAUUUAUCGCCUUUAGAGCGGCCCGCGUCUGAUUAGCUAGUUGGUGAGGUAAAGGCUCACCAAGGCGACGAUCAGUAGCUGGUCUGAGAGGAUGAUCAGCCACAUUGGGACUGAGACACGGCCCAAACUCCUACGGGAGGCAGCAGUGUGGAAUCUUGCGCAAUGGGCGAAAGCCUGACGCAGCCAUGCCGCGUGAAUGAUGAAGGUCUUAGGAUUGUAAAAUUCUUUCACCGGGGACGAUAAUGACGGUACCCGGAGAAGAAGCCCCGGCUAACUUCGUGCCAGCCGCCGCCGUAAUAC